GAUGAACGCUGGCGGCGUGCUUAACACAUGCAAGUCGAACGGGAUCCAUCAGGCUUUGCUUGGUGGUGAGAGUGGCGAACGGGUGAGUAAUGCGUGACCGACCUGCCCCAUACACCGGAAUAGCUCCUGGAAACGGGUGGUAAUGCCGGAUGCUCCAGUUGAUCGCAUGGUCUUCUGGGAAAGCUUUCGCGGUAUGGGAUGGGGUCGCGUCCUAUCAGCUUGACGGCGGGGUAACGGCCCACCGUGGCUUCGACGGGUAGCCGGCCUGAGAGGGCGACCGGCCACAUUGGGACUGAGAUACGGCCCAGACUCCUACGGGAGGCAGCAGUGGGGAAUAUUGCACAAUGGGCGCAAGCCUGAUGCAGCGACGCCGCGUGAGGGAUGGAGGCCUUCGGGUUGUAAACCUCUUUUAUCGGGGAGCAAGCGAGAGU
rnacentral:rRNA from 1 species